rnacentral:rRNA from 1 species
GGCCUCUUGCAACCAUAUAUAAGAGGUCCAACCUGCCCAGUGACAAUAAGUUAAACGGCCGCGGUAUUUUAACCGUGCUAAGGUAGCCGUAAUCACUUGUCUUUUAAAUGAAGACCCGUAUGAAAGGUGUCACGAGGGCCCUACUGUCUCCUCCUUCCAGUCUGUGAAAUUGAUCUACCCGUGCAGAAGCGGGUAUACUAACAUAAGACGAGAAGACCCUGUGGAGCUUAAGAUUAUUAACCAAUCACGCCUAGACAGCCAUCAAACCAAAAAGCAAACAAGCAUAACGACAAUGGAUUAAUCAUCUUCGGUUGGGGCGACCAUGGAGGAAAAAUAAGCCUCCAAGAGGAACCAGGGGGUCAAUUACACAAUACCCCUAAGAGCUAAGAGCCACAUCUCUAAGCAACAGAAAAAUCUGACCAAUAAUGACCCAGGUCCAUGACCUGAUCAACGAACCAAGUUACCCCAGGGAUAACAGCGCAAUCCUUUCCUAGAGCCCAUAUCGCCGAAAGGGUUUACGACCUCGAUGUUGGAUCAGGACAUCCUAGUGGCGAAAAUUCUACCAAGGGUUCGUUUGUUCAACGAUUAAAGUCCU